GACCCGAAACCAGGUGAUCUAUCCAUGGCCAGGGUAAAGCGUUGGUAACACAGCGUGGAGGCCCGAACCCACUAACGUUGAAAAGUUAGGGGAUGAGCUGUGGUUAGGAGUGAAAGGCUAAUCAAACCUGGAGAUAGCUGGUACUCCCCGAAAUAGUUUUAGGACUAGCCUCUUGUAAUGUCUUAUGGUGGUAGAGCACUGAAUGGAUUAGGGCCCUCACCAGGGUACCAAACCCAAUCAAACUCCGAAUGCCAUAAGAUAGUAAAGGGAGUCAGACCGUGGGGGAUAAGCUUCACGGUCAAGAGGGAAAGAGCCCAGACCAUCAUCUAAGGUCCCUAAAUAUAUGCUUAGUGUGAAAGGAAGUAAAAUUGCUCAGACAGCCAGGAGGUUGGCUUAGAAGCAGCCAUUCCUUUAAAGAGUGCGUAAUAGCUCACUGGUCGAGUAGUAUUGUGCCGAAAAUGUAACGGGGCUCAAGCAUAUUACCGAAGAUAUGGACUACGUAAGUAGUGGUAGGGGAGCAUUCUGUAAGCCGUCGAAGGUGUAUCGUAAGGUAUGCUGGAGGUAUCAGAAGAGAGAAUGCCGGUAUAAGUAACGAAAAAACAGGAGAAUAACCUGUUCGCCGAAAACCCAAGGUUUCCUGGGUAAAGUUAAUCUGCUCAGGGUUAGUCGGCCCCUAAGGCGAGGCUGAAAAGCGUAGUCGAUGGGAAACUGGUUAAUAUUCCAGUACCACUUAAAAGUGCGAUGGGAUGACGCAGUAAGUUAUGUUGUGCGUGCUGAUGGUUUAGCGCGUGAAAGCUCUAGGCCGGGAGGGUUAAAUCCCUCCAUAAAGCUGAAAGUGAGUAUGACACUUCCUUCGGGUCGUGGAAAUUGACAAAGCUACACUGCCAAGAAAUAAUCUCUAAGCUUCAGCUUUUGAGUGACCGUACCUUAAACCGACACAGGUGGGUGAGAUGAGUAUUCUAAGGCGCUCGAGUGAAAUCUCGUUAAGGAACUCGGCAAAAUGCCUCCGUAUCCUUGGUAGAAGGAGGGCCUCACUCCGGUGAGGUUGCAAAAAAAUGGCCCAAUCGACUGUUUAGCAAAAACACAGGUCUGUGCUAAAAUUCAAAUUGAUGUAUACAGACUGACACCUGCCCGGUGCUGGAAGGUUAAGGAAGUGGGUUAUCCUUCGGGAGAAGCUUGCGACUGAAGCCCCAGUGAACGGCGGCCGUAACUAUAACGGUCCUAAGGUAGCGAAAUUCCUUGUCGGGUAAGUUCCGACCUGCACGAAUGGUGUAACGAAUUGGGCACUGUCUCAACGAGAAGCUCGGUGAAAUUGAAUUAUCAGUGAAGAUGCUGAUUACCUACGAUAAGACGGAAAGACCCCGUGAACCUUUACUAUAGCUUGGCAUUGAGAUUUGGUGUGAUAUGUGUAGGAUAGGUGGGAGACUGUGAGACGGGCACGCUAGUGCUCGUGGAGUCAUCCUUGAAAUACCACCCUUAUCACAUUGAGUUUCUAAUCACAUACCGUUAUCCGGGUGUGAGACAAUGUCUGGUGGGUAGUUUGACUGGGGCGGUCGCCUCCUAAAAUGUAACGGAGGUGUACAAAGGUUCCCUCAAUACGGUUGGAAAUCGUAUGCAGAGUGCAAAGGCAUAAGGGAGCUUGACUGCAAGAGCUACAACUCAAGCAGGUGCGAAAGCAGGUCUUAGUGAUCCGGCGGUUGCGCGUGGAAGCGCCGUCGCUCAACGGAUAAAAGGUACUCCGGGGAUAACAGGCUUAUCUCCCCCAAGAGUUCACAUCGACGGGGAGGUUUGGCACCUCGAUGUCGGCUCAUCGCAUCCUGGGGCUGGAGAAGGUCCCAAGGGUUUGGCUGUUCGCCAAUUAAAGCGGUACGCGAGCUGGGUUCAGAACGUCGUGAGACAGUUCGGUCCCUAUCUAUCGUAGGCGUUGGAUAUUUGAGGAGAGCUGCUCCUAGUACGAGAGGACCGGAGUGGACGUACCACUGGUGCACCAGUUGUUCCGCCAGGAGCAUGGCUGGGUAGCUAUGUACGGAAGGGAUAACUGCUGAAAGCAUCUAAGCAGGAAGCCUCCUCCAAGAUAAGAUAUCCCGAUCCUUUUGGAUCCUAAAGACUCCUUAUAGACUAUAAGGUCGAUAGGCUGUAGGUGUAAGUGCAGUAAUGUAUUUAGCUGAGCAGUACUAAUCAGUCGUGUGGCUUGACCAU
rnacentral:rRNA from 1 species